rnacentral:lncRNA from 1 species
AAAAUGGGAAGGAAAUAGAUUGCCUUAGAAUCAUUAUUACAUCUUAGAGUGUAAGGAUUGAAAGCUUUUCCUUCCAAUAAGGCGAAAACAUGUAAACACGUUCUUACAAACACAUGAUUUCACAACAUUGCUCAAAGUGAAGUAUUCACUGUGGUUAUGGGCCUGCUGAGGACAAUACAAGUUAGAAGUGUGUUCUUGUGCUCAUUAAUAACACUGCAAUGAAUUCCCAUGGCUCUGGAAAUGCAUAUAAUAAAUGGAGAUUUUCUCAGUUCUGCCCUCUUGAGAAUUAAAGAGAUACAUACAUUUCUGAAAGCCUGUGCUCUGAAGAUAUCAUGAUUGCAACUCCUGACUUCUUUCUAUCAGUUGAGGCCCAGAAGGUCUUACUCCAUCCUUUAAUUCUGACCUUGUGGGUGUCUACCCG